CCAAUAGCGUAUAUUAGUGUUGUUGCGGUUAAAAAGCUCGUAGUUGAAUUUCGGGAUUGGGAUAUAUCGGUCAUGCCUUUAGGGGCAUGAAUCGGUGUGUAGCCAAUUUCUUACCUUCUGGUGAAUUGGGAUGCUCUUGGGUGUUUCAAUGAACUAGGACUUUUACUUUGAAAAAAAUAUAGUGUUUAAAGCGGGCAUUUUUGCUUGAAUACAUUAGCAUGGAAUAAUAAAAUAGGACGAUGGUUCUAUUUUGUUGGUUUUAGGACCACGUAAUGAUUAAUAGGGAUAGUUGGGGGCAUUAGUAGUCAAUAGUCAGAGGUGAAAUACUUGGAUUUAUUGAGGACUAACUACUGCGAAAGCAUUUGCCAAGGAUGUUUUCAUUAAUCAAGAACGAAAGUUAGGGGAUCGAAGACGAUUUAUGUACGUCGUAGUCUUAACCAUAAACUAUGCCGACUAGGAAUCAGACAAAGUUCAUUUUUUAACGACUUGUUUGGUACCUUACG
rnacentral:misc_RNA from 1 species